CCUCCUGCCCGAUUCCUGCCCACAUCUGGGGCCCCGAGAUCGCCCACAGUGGCCCCUGCUCCCCUGACAUGUCGCUGCAACUCCGUGCGAUUCUCCACUGUGCGCUGCACCUGUUCGACAGGCUGUGGUCGUGUCCAAUUGGAGGACAGGAAGUGUCCUGAAGCGGUUUGUGGGGCACGAGCGAGAGGUGACUAAGGUCUACUGUGUGUUUGGGUCAAACAGGCUCUUCAGCUCCUCCAGAGACAAGACGGUGCUGGUGUGGGACCUGCACAGGAAGCUCUGCUGGCCCAAAGAUUUAUGGGACACCAUUAAGUUGUCACAGGUGUAGCUGUGAGUCCAUUUCAGCAAUGGGCCCUUAUACUGACUAAUCAAUAUGGCAGCUCCCAGUCAGUACCCUGUAUAGCAGGGAACCCCAACCUUUUGAACCUAUGA